rnacentral:rRNA from 1 species
UACGUAGGGCGCAAGCGUUGUCCGGAAUUAUUGGGCGUAAAGAGCUCGUAGGUGGUGUGUCGCGUCUGCCGUGAAAGCCCGGGGCUUAACUCCGGGUCUGCGGUGGAUACGGGCAGACUAGAGGCAGGUAGGGGAGAACGGAAUUCCCGGUGUAGCGGUGAAAUGCGCAGAUAUCAGGAGGAACACCGAUGGCGAAGGCAGGUCUCUGGGCCAUUACUGACACUGAGAAGCGAAAGCAUGGGGAGCGAACAGG